rnacentral:rRNA from 1 species
GAGUUUGAUUCUGGCUCAGGAUGAACGCUGGCGGCGUGCUUAACACAUGCAAGUCGAACGAUCCAGCACUCAACUACCAACUACAUUUUCAAGAAGAAACGAAAGUGUGGUUAGUAGUUGAGUGCUGGAGAGUGGCGGACGGGUGCGUAACGUGUGGGUAAUCUGCCUUUGUCAUGGGAAUAACUGCUUGAAAGAGCAGCUAAUACCGAAUAACAUAUGCAAUAGGCAUCUAUUGGAUAUCAAAGAGAAAUCGGACAAAGAUGAGCCCGCAUCUGAUUAGCUGGUUGGUAGGGUAACAGCCUACCAAGGCAACGAUCAGUAGCCGACCUGAGAGGGUGAACGGCCACAUUGGAACUGAGACACGGUCCAAACUCCUACGGGAGGCAGCAGUGGGGAAUAUUGCACAAUGGGGGGAACCCUGAUGCAGCAACGCCGCGUGAGUGAAGAAGGCUUUCGAGUCGUAAAACUCUGUUGUAAGGGAAGAUAA